rnacentral:rRNA from 1 species
AUUGAACGCUGGCGGAAUGCUUACACAUGCAAGUCGAACGGCAGCACGGACUUCGGUCUGGUGGCGAGUGGCGAACGGGUGAGUAAUGUAUCGGAACGUGCCCAGUCGUGGGGGAUAACGUAGUGAAAAUUACGCUAAUACCGCAUACGAUCUAUGGAUGAAAGCGGGGGAUCGCAAGACCUCGCGCGAUUGGAGCGGCCGAUAUCAGAUUAGGUAGUUGGUGGGGUAAAGGCCCACCAAGCCAACGAUCUGUAGCUGGUCUGAGCGGACGACCAGCCACACUGGAACUGAGACACGGUCCAGACUCCUACGGGAGGCAGCAGUGGGGAAUUUUGGACAAUGGGCGAAAGCCUGAUCCAGCCAUUCCGCGUGCAGGAUGAAGGCCCUCGGGUUGUAAACUGCUUUUGUACAGAACGAAAAGGUUUCUACUAAUACUAGGAGCUCAUGACGGUACUGUAAGAAUAAGCACCGGCUAACUACGUGCCAGCCGCCGCGGUAA